rnacentral:misc_RNA from 1 species
GUCAGCUCCUAUCUUUAGAUACUGAAGAGCCAAGGUCUCAACCUACUGAGCAACAACUUGCUGCUCACCAACGCACACUGCAGACAAUUCAGAAGUGUCAAAUUGAUACCAUCUUCACAGAAAGUAAGUUUCUCCUAGCUGAUUCUUUGUUGCAGUUGGCAAGGGCCCUCAUAUGGGCAGCUGGGAGACCUCAGAAAGGUAGUAGUUCCCCUGAGGAUGAAGAUACUGCAGUGUUCUGCUUGGAAUUGCUGAUUGCAAUCACUUUGAACAAUAGAGAUAGAAUAGCACUUCUUUGGCAGGGAGUUUACGAGCAUAUUGCUCAUAUUGUACACUCAACAAUUAUGCCCUGUGCUCUAAUUGAGAAAGCUGUUUUUGGACUACUACGCAUCUGUCAGAGGCUGCUUCCUUAUAAAGAGAACUUAGCUGAUGAUCUUCUCAGAUCAUUACAACUUGUAACCAAGCUUGAUGCCCG